AAAGGAAUAGACGGGGGCCCGCACAAGCGGAGGAGCAUGUGGUUUAAUUCGAUGAUACGCGAGGAACCUUACCUGGACUUGAACGUAUUAGGCAUAAUUUGGAAACAGAUUAGUUAGCAAUAACCUGAUACGAGGUGCUGCAUGGUUGUCGUCAGCUCGUGCCGUGAGGUGUCAGGUUAAGUCCUAUAACGAGCGCAACCCCUACACAUAGUUACCAACACGUUAAGGUGGGGACUCUAUGUGGACUGCCGGCGCAAGCUGAGAGGAAGGUGGGGAUGACGUCAAAUCAGCACGGCCCUUACGUCCAGGGCGACACACGUGCUACAAUGGCAGGUACAGAGGGCAGCUACACAGCGAUGUGAUGCGAAUCUCGAAAGCCUGUCUCAGUUCGGAUUGGAGUCUGCAACCCGACUCCAUGAAGUUGGAUUCGCUAGUAAUCGCAGAUCAGCCAUGCUGCGGUGAAUACGUUCCCGGGCCUUGUACACACCGCCCGU
rnacentral:rRNA from 1 species